GACGAACGCUGGCGGCGUGCCUAAUACAUGCAAGUCGAACGCAGGGGGGACGGGUGAGUAACACGUGGGUAACCUCCCAUCAGAGGGGAUAACACUUGGCAACAGGUGCUAAACCGAUACUGAUGGAUGGACACGAGGUGCAUUAGCUAGUUGGUGAGGGAACGGCUCACCAAGGCCACGAUGCAUAGCCGGCCUGAGAGGGUGAUAGGCCACACUGGUACGGAGACACGGCCCAGACUCCUACGGGAGGCAGCAGUAGGGAAUCUUCGUCAAUGGACGAAAGUCUGACCGAGCAACGCCGCGUGAGUGAAGAAGGUUUGCGGAUCGUAAAACUCUGUUGUUCGAGAAGCGGUAUCUAACCAGAAAGCCACGGCUAACUACGUGCCAGCAGCCGCGGUAAUAC
rnacentral:rRNA from 1 species